ACCAGAUCAAACAGAAACAUCAACAAUAAUGAGGUUAGCAGUAGUUAAACUCUCUUGGACACACAUUUGUUCCAUGGAUUUCAAGGUUAAAGAAAGUUCAACUUACAAAUCCUUAGCAGGAUAGCGAUCAGUGACCCCUAAACACAGAAGAGUGUUUAUUUUGCAGCCUCCUGUGGGUGCCACAACAGGGCUUACAGUUCAACUGAAUCCACUUCACAUAUGCAUUUUAUCCCUUCAAGGGAGAUUAGCAGAGGGAAGAUGGGCAGAAAGGCCCAAAUCUUUCAUUUUUGAAUCAACCCCAAAUUUUCCUCCCACCCUCAUAUGUGUACAAAUGAUGUACUUAGUCCUGAUGCUCACAUAUUCCAGUCUUGUACUAAGAAAAUAUCUUAAACCAUCAAACAAGCUCCAGUGAUUUCUAGUUCUUUGACAGAGUAUCCAGCAACAUUUCAGUCCUUGGUAGGGGAAGGGAAAGGAGAGGGAGAGGGAGAAGGAGAUGGAGAGGGAGAGGAGAAUCAUUCUUUACAGAGGAAAAGUACACAGCAAUGGCAUUCUGGUGUUUUACUUUUGUGUUAAAUAUGUCUCUACUUGAAGGGGAAAUGUUUUUACUGAAGGAAUAACAUGUUCUUACUUCUUUCAAAGAUUGCUGUCAACAAAUGCUAAUCACCAAUCAUGGAAGAAUUGCUUGACUAAUACGAAAGGAAGCAUGGUUUGCCCAGUGUGGGCUCCCUACACUCAAAGCAUUGGCUACACUGCAGACAGAAACUGUACAGAAGUGGAUGGCAUGCUAACAGAGAUGAGAAAUGACAACUGACAUCUAACAACAACGUAUGGAAACUAGUUUUAUGGAAACUAUUUCCCAUAAAUAAGAAUUGUAAGGUGCACAUGUUUCCAUAGCAACCUCUUCUGUUGUGUUCAAUCCUGUGAAACAGAAAUAUAAAAACAAACACAACCAUGUAUGUGUGGAGAGCCAUUCUGAUGACCUGCAGAAUAGGGAAUGUAGAGUGCAAUUUCUAGACCUUUCUCUUCCAGGUUUAUUGUUUCUCCUAUCCUAGGAAGCCUCUCAUUUAAUAAUAUGGUUUUGGCCAUUUGUGGCAUUCACAUUGGCACCACAAAUACUAAUAGUUUUAGUAACCAACUGGUAGAGUGUUACCAUUUGCUAGGCACUGGGCUAAACCCUUCAUCAUCUUUGUAAACUCUCACCAUAAACCUAUGGGACAAAUAAUUUUAUUAACCUCAUUUUACAGACAAGGACACUGAGGUAGAGAGUUGUUAAAUGACUUUUCCAAGAUCACUUCGCUAAGAAAAAAACAGAGGCAGGGCAAAAUCUUGAUGUCAGUUCCUUCUGACUCAAACAUUCAUGCUUUAUGUUGGUAAGUUCAGUAGUCAAGAAGUUCAUUGCUUCCUCUUAGGUAUUUUUACUAAAAUUUAGGAGUGUGGCCAUCAGAAGUGUUGCCUCUGCUGAGGUGAUAUUGUCCAAGCAGCAGGUCUGUACCUACUGAGGUUUGGAUAAAAUGAGGUGCCCUCUUUAAAAAUUAAGCCCUAGGUAUUCUUAUUUUACUUUUGCUUUAAAAUAUUCAUAGGAAAGCAAUGGUAAAGGAGGGGACUUGGGGGAGAGCAGCACUGGUCUUUUAUAUCCAUCUACUGCCUCCCACCUUUACCCCCCAGCUUGUGCCAUCAGGCAAGAGAGUGCUGAAGUUCUAGAGCCACAGAAAGAGGUAAGAGAAAGUACGAUAGAGGAUAGAGUGGCUCAAGAGGAAAAGGAAAACACAGUGUGACUGUGGGACAAAAGCAAAUCUCUGUUACCCUUGGUCUUGAGCACUCCUUAAGAGGCGUUCAGAGAGAGGAAAACCCAAGAAGGCCUAGGAUGCUGCUACUCUGGCAGGUGGGGGUGUGCAGGCCUGACUAUUAGGUAGUUGAUAUAAUUAUGAUCUCAGCUAUGCUAACUGGCCAGAGAAGCCUGGACAUCCAUGUUAGUCUUGCAAGUCCUCCUUUUAAAAGAAAACAAGAAGUGUAUUAGUCAGUUCUCAUGCUGUUAGAAAAGACUGCCCAAGACUGGGUAAUGUAUAAAGGAUAGAGGUUUAAUUGACUCACAGUUUCACAUGGCAGAGAACUUAACUUACAAUCAGUGGAAGGGGAAGCAAACACCUUCUUCUUCACAUAAUGGCCCCUUAAAACAACCAUCAGAUCUCGUGAGAGCUCACUUAUGAUAAUGAGAAAAGCAGCAUGGGGAUAACUGCCCUCAUGAUUAAAUUACCUCCCACCAGCUCCCUCCCAUGACACAUAGGGAUUAUGGGAACUACAAUUCAAGAUGAGAUUUGGGUGGGGACACAGCCAAACCAUAUCAAGCAGGGUGUGGUGGCAUGUGCCAUGUGCCUAUAGUCCCAGCUACUUAGGAGGCUGAGGUGGGAGGAUCAUUUGAGCCCAGGAGUUCAAGGCCAGCCAGCCUUGGUAACAUAGUGAGACCCUGUCUCUAAAUAAUAAUAAUACGUAAAAAAGGAAAAAUGAAAAAAAAGAAGCAGAGCAGAACUCUACCAAGCAGAUGAACUUUAUAUGAAAUGCUAGUUUAAAGGUCUUUUCUAUGACAUGAAAUAUAAAGCAAACAAAGUCUAAGUAAUAAUGCAUUAUUUUUUCUCAUCAACCUACAGCUGUUAUCAAUAACUGUUAAUUAUUAUGCCACAUUUUUGGCAGUGAUAAAGCAGGCAAAUAAAAUGGAUCAGGAUUGGGAAUGAAGCCAGACUGUUGGGCAGAACGAUUUAUGCAGGACACAGAUCAGAGAAUGCACGAGUUUACGUAGGCCAGGUGUAAAGUUAUCAAGAGUCCUAAAGGCAAGACUAAGUCAAAGAGCAAUGUACCAGAUCUACCUGGAAGAUGCAAGAAUGUUUGAGAUUUGACUAAUUGUCCUGUGGGGAAAAUUUAGAGAUGUAAGCUGAGAAGGAAAUGCAGGUUAGAUCGACUAGCCUGCAUUAGUUAGAUCAAUUAACUAACAUUAGUUAGUAGUAGAAGGGUAAUGGUGUAAGAACUAGAGUCAGUGUCUAAAGUUGCAAGCAGAGCAGAUGACACAGGAAGAAGUCAAUUCAAGCAUAAGGCUUGGGCUAGCGAUAAACAUGAGAAAAAGAGAAGGGAGCAUUGGAACUCAACAAAGAUAUAUUAAUCUACAUGAAUCCAUAAUCGACUGUUGAUUUUUGGAAAGGAAAUUUUUGCCUUCUGAAUCCAUUCGUAGUAGCCUUUCUCUUCUAUUAUGGGCAGGUAUGGGUAAGAGUCAAAGAUACCCAUGAAUAGCUUUGGUUUGUGUACUUCCUAAAAUAAUUUGUAAAACUGUGCAACUGCUCAUAAUUUUAAGUUGAUAGCUAAAGAUUUUUCCCCUAUGUUUCAAUAAUUGCAAUGGAUAUAAUUAUGCAUUGAAAAUAUGGACAUUUUAAAAUAAAAUUGUUACAUCACUCUUAAAUACAGUCAGUUAAAUCUAAACAACUAAGCUAGUUGAUAUCCACUACAAUUCGUUUUAUGAAUACAUGAAUCACUUCUGCAAUAACAGUCAGAAAUUUUAUAUUUCUCAUUAAACAGAUGUUGCCACUUAAAUUCCACCAAAGAAUUUAAUUUACUAUGUUUUGUGUUUGAAAGUCCUUUUAAAAUAUGAACAGACACUUCUCAAAAGAAGACAUACAAGCAGCCAACAAACAGAUGAAAAAAUGCUCAAUGUCACUAAUCAGAGAAAUACAAAUCAAAACCACAAUGAGAUACUAUCUCAUACCAGUCAGAAUGACUGUUAUUAAAAAGUCAAAAAACAACAGAUGU
rnacentral:lncRNA from 10 species